AUUGAACGCUGGCGGCAGGCCUAACACAUGCAAGUCGAGCGGAUGAAGGGAGCUUGCUCCUGGAUUCAGCGGCGGACGGGUGAGUAAUGCCUAGGAAUCUGCCUGGUAGUGGGGGAUAACGUCCGGAAACGGGCGCUAAUACCGCAUACGUCCUGAGGGAGAAAGUGGGGGAUCUUCGGACCUCACGCUAUCAGAUGAGCCAAGGUCGGAUUAGCUAGUUGGUGGGGUAAAGGCCUACCAAGGCGACGAUCCGUAACUGGUCUGAGAGGAUGAUCAGUCACACUGGAACUGAGACACGGUCCAGACUCCUACGGGAGGCAGCAGUGGGGAAUAUUGGACAAUGGGCGAAAGCCUGAUCCAGCCAUGCCGCGUGUGUGAAGAAGGUCUUCGGAUUGUAAAGCACUUUAAGUUGGGAGGAAGGGCAGUAAGUUAAUACCUUGCUGUUUUGACGUUACCAACAGAAUAAGCACCGGUUAACUUCGUG
rnacentral:rRNA from 1 species